rnacentral:rRNA from 1 species
GACGAACGCUGGCGGCGUGCCUAAUACAUGCAAGUAGGACGCAGUUGCGAACGGGUGAGUAACGCGUAGGUAACUACCUAUUAGAGGGGGAUAACUAUUGGAAACGAUAGCUAAUACCGCAUACUAGUAGAUGGACCUGCGUUGUAUUAGCUAGUAGGUAGGGUAAUGGCCUACCUAGGCAACGAUACAUAGCCGACCUUGGGGGGUGGUUGGCCACCGUGGGACUGAGGACCUGCCCCGAUCCCUACCGGAGGGAGCCGUAGGGAAUUGUCGGCAAUUGGGGGAACCCUGACCGAGCAACGCCGCGUGAGUGAAGAAGGUUUUCGGAUCGUAAAGCUCUGUUGUUAAGGAAGCGGUACUUAACCAGAAAGGGACGGCUAACUACGUGCCAGCAGCCGCGGUAAUAC